rnacentral:rRNA from 1 species
CCUACGGGAGGCAGCAGUGGGGAAUCUUGCGCAAUGGGCGAAAGCCUGACGCAGCCAUGCCGCGUGAAUGAUGAAGGUCUUAGGAUUGUAAAAUUCUUUCACCGGGGACGAUAAUGACGGUACCCGGAGAAGAAGCCCCGGCUAACUUCGUGCCAGCAGCCGCGGUAAUACGAAGGGGGCUAGCGUUGCUCGGAAUUACUGGGCGUAAAGGGAGCGUAGGCGGACAUUUAAGUCAGGGGUGAAAUCCCAGAGCUCAACUCUGGAACUGCCUUUGAUACUGGAUGUCUUGAGUGUGAGAGAGGUAUGUGGAACUCCGAGUGUAGAGGUGAAAUUCGUAGAUAUUCGGAAGAACACCAGUGGCGAAGGCGACAUACUGGCUCAUUACUGACGCUGAGGCUCGAAAGCGUGGGGAGCAAACAGGAUUAGAUACCCUGGUAGUCCACGCCGUAAACGAUGAUUGCUAGUUGUCGGGAUGUUUACAUCUCGGCGACGCAGCUAACGCAUUAAGCAAUCCGCCUGGGGAGUACGGUCGCAAGNUUAAAACUUAAAGGAAUUGACGG